rnacentral:rRNA from 1 species
GGGGAAUAUUGGACAAUGGGCGCAAGCCUGAUCCAGCCAUGCCGCGUGAGUGACGAAGGCCUUAGGGUUGUAAAGCUCUUUUGUCGGGGACGAUAAUGACGGUACCCGAAGAAUAAGCUCCGGCUAACUUCGUGCCAGCAGCCGCGGUAAUACGAAGGGAGCUAGCGUUGUUCGGAAUCACUGGGCGUAAAGCGCACGUAGGCGGAUCGCUAAGUCAGGGGUGAAAUCCCGGGGCUCAACCUCGGAACUGCCUUUGAUACUGGCGAUCUCGAGUCCGGAAGAGGUGAGUGGAAUUCCUAGUGGAGAGGUGAAAUUCGUAGAUAUUAGGAAGAACACCAGUGGCGAAGGCGGCUCACUGGUCCGGUACUGACGCUGAGGUGCGAAAGCGUGGGGAGCAAAC